rnacentral:rRNA from 1 species
UACGGGGGGGCAAGCGUUGUUCGGAAUUACUGGGCGUAAAGGGCUCGUAGGUGGCCAACUAAGUCAGACGUGAAAUCCCUCGGCUUAACCGGGGAACUGCGUCUGAUACUGGAUGGCUUGAGUUUGGGAGAGGGAUGCGGAAUUCCAGGUGUAGCGGUGAAAUGCGUAGAUAUCUGGAGGAACACCGGUGGCGAAGGCGGUUCUCUGGGCAUGUCCUGACGCUGAGGAGCGAAAGUGUGGGGAGCGAACAGG